rnacentral:rRNA from 1 species
GGCGACUGGGAUUGAUCUAAGCAUGCGAGUCAUUGUAGUAAUACAAGGCAGACGGCUCAGUAACGCGUAGUCAACCUAACCUAUGGACGGGAAUAACCUCGGGAAACUGAGUAUAAUGCCCGAUAGAACAUUAUGCCUGGAAUGGUUUAUGUUCCAAAUGAUUUAUCGCCGUAGGAUGGGGCCGCGUCCGAUCAGGUUGUUGGUGGGGUAAUGGCUCACCAAGCCUAUAACCGGUACGGGCCGUGAGAGCGGGAGCCCGGAGAUGGGCACUGAGACAAGGGCCCAGGCCCUACGGGGCGCAGCAGUCGCGAAAACUCCGCAAUGCGCGCAAGCGUGACGGGGCUACCCCGAGUGCCGUCCGCUGAGGAUGGCUUUUCCCCGGUGUAAUGAGCCGGGGGAAUAAGGAGAGGGCAAGACUGGUGUCAGCCGCCGCGGUAAUACCAGCUCUCCGAGUGGUAGAGAUGAUUAUUGGGCUUAAAGCGUCCGUAGCCGGCUUAGCAAGUCUCCUGUUAAAUUCAGCGACUUAAUCGUUGAGCCGCGGGAGAUACUACUAGGCUAGGAGGCGGGAGAGGCCGACGGUAUUCUCGGGGUAGGGGUGAAAUCCUAUAAUCCCGGGAGGACCACCAGUGGCGAAGGCUGUCGGCUAGAACGCGCUCGACGGUGAGGGACGAAAGCUGGGGGAGCGAACCGGAUUAGAUACCCGGGUAGUCCCAGCUGUAAACGAUGCGGGCUAGGUGUUGGGGUGGCUACGAGCCACUUCAGUGCCGCAGGGAAGCCAUUAAGCCCGCCGCCUGGGGGAGUACGGCCGCAAGGCUGAAACUUAAAGGAAUUGGCGGGGGAGCACCACAAGGCGUGAAGCUUGCGGUUCAAUUGGAGUCAACGCCGGG